UCUUUAAACACUAUCUAGAUAUAUGUUAUUGGUGAUGCAGGAAAAUAUUUAGGUGGGUAAUCUUAACCAGGUAGCAGUGACGGGCCAAAUUUGUGUCUUUACCGUGUAGCAGCGACGGGCCAAAUUUGUGUCUUUACCGUGUAGCAGCGACGGGCCAAAUUUGUGGCUUUACCGUGUAGCAGCGACAGGCCAAAUUUGUGGCUUUACCGUGUAGCAGUGACGGGCCAAAUUUGUGGCUUUACCGUGUAGCAGCGACGUGCCAAAUUUGUGGCUUUACCGUGUAGCAGCGACGGGCCAAAUUUGUGGCUUUACCGUGUAGCAGCGACGGGCCAAAUUUGUGGCUUUACCGUGUAGCAGUGACGGGCCAAAUUUGUGGCUUUACCGUGUAGCAGCGACAGGCCAAAUUUGUGGCUUUACCGUGUAGCAGCGACGGGCCAAAUUUGUGGCUUUACCGUGUAGCAGCGACGGGCCAAAUUUGUGGCUUUACCGUGUAGCAGCGACGGGCCAAAUUUGUGGCUUUACCGUGUAGCAGCGACGGGCCAAAUUUGUGGCUUUACCAUGUAGCAGUGACGGGCCAAAUUUGUGGCUUUACCAUGUAGCAGUGACGGGCCAAAUUUGUGUCUCUACCGUGUAGCAGUGACGGGCCAAAUUUGUGGCUUUACCGUGUAGCAGCGACAGGCCAAAUUUGUGGCUUUACCGUGUAGCAGCGACAGGCCAAAUUUGUGGCUUUACCGUGUAGCAGCGACGGGCCAAAUUUGUGCCAUGAUGUAACACCCC